rnacentral:rRNA from 1 species
CUGUGUUAUAGCAUGUAACUUUCUACAGGAAUGCAUGAAAUGUAGACUUGAGAAUGGACGAGGUAGGCGGAAUUCGUAGUGUAGCGGUGAAAUGCAUAGAUAUUACGAAGAACUCCAAUAGUGUAGACUGCUUACCAGACCAUAUCUGACACUAAGGCACGAAAGUGUGGGUAUCAAACAGGAUUAGAUACCCUGGUAGUCCACACAGUAAACGAUGAAUACUAACUGUUUGCGAUAUACAGCAAGUGGUCGAGCGAAAGCGUUAAGUAUUCCACCUGGGAAGUAUGCCGGCAACGGUGAAACUCAAAGGAAUUGACGGGGGCCCGCACAAGCGGAGGAACAUGUGGUUUAAUUCGAUAAUACGCGAGGAACCUUACCCGGGCUCGAACGAUAUUUGAAUACAUCCGAAAAGAUGUAGCUAGCAAUAGCAAAUACCGAGGUGCUGCAUGGUUGUCGUCAGCUCGUGCCGUGAGGUGUCGACUUAAGUGUCAUAACGAGCGCAACCCUUACCGAUAGUUACCAUCAGAUAAUGCUGGGGACUCUAUUGGGACUGCCACCGUAAGGUGUGAGGAAGGAGAGGAUGACGUCAAAUCAGCACGGCCCUUAUGUCCGGGGCGACACACGUGUUACAAUGGGAGAAACAAAGGGUCGCUACCUGGCAACAGGAUGCUAAUCUCGAAAAUCUCUCUCAGUUCGGAUUGGAGUCUGCAACUCGACUCCAUGAAGCUGGAUUCGCUAGUAAUCGCACAUCAGCCAUGGUGCGGUGAAUACAUUCCCGGGCCUUGUACACACCGCCCGUCAAGCCAUGGAAGCUGGAAGUACCUGAAGUAUGUAACUAAAAGAGCGUCCUAAGU